CUCUUACAAAAUUGGUGAACGACCGACAGGAUUUGUUUGGUGGUUUGGCCUAUUCAGUAGAUAAUUUUGACCGGAUGGUCAUCUGGUCAAGUGCCGUAAAUAAUAACUUUUUUUGAUUUAACAAUGUUGUGUUUUCAGUUAAAUUACUGUGGGCUGCAGAGGACCAAGGCAAGGUGGAGGCUGUCGUUGGACCGUAUAAAUUAUAUGACAUGUCUUUUCAUAAGCUAAAAGGCAACGGCUGGCUGUCUGAUGAAGUCAGUGGGAGCAAUAAGUGUUUAGCAAAUAACAAAGAUUCUUGCCUUUUGCCAAUUUUUUUAUUUUGCUAUGCAAGUAUUUGAUGCAUACAUGCAUAUCCUCAUUGAAAGGCAGCAGCCAAGUGCUGGAUAUAGUUUUUCUCAAUGCAUUUAUUUUUUGCCGGAGUAUAGUUGUAAUGUUGUUACCCCUUUUUUUAACAGGAGCCCAUUCACCAACUCUCUGCUGUGGUAGCUGGGAGUCUGCUUUUGGGAAAAUUUCAGCCUGUUAGAAAGAGGAAAUUCCCUGUUGAAAAAAAAGUGUAUUUGUCCUGUCCUGUCCUGUAUGCGCUCAUUGGAUUUUAGUGAGAACACUGGUGAUCAACGAUCCCUUGAGUAACGAGGACAAAUAUGAGCAAAAUUUUGUGGAAUUGGAGGAACUUCUUGAGGUUGGCGGGCCGUGAGUUCCAAAUAGAAACUUGGACUACCAAAACUGUGGCCCAUAACAAGCAGCAGAACAACAGUAGCUGUGGGGUUUUCACAUUAAAGUUUGCGGAAGAGUAUAUGGCCAAUGGAGAGCUCAGGCACAACCAGACCCACCUUCCCGAAGUUCUGAAGGCUCGAGGAGAUCUAGCCUGUGCCCUCCUACAGGCUGGGAGUCUGAGAUGUCUAUUUAAAUGAAAAAAAAUGUCUCAAAACUUACUUGGUCUCCUCACCUCACAUAAUUGAACUCCUGAUUGCUCUCAAUGUCACUAUUUACUUUCAAAGGCAUCCAAAGAACAGAUCUGAGGAUUUGCUGCUGCGCUUUAUCCUCUCUUGCCAUCAUUGAUCACUUAUUAGGUUUGUCGCGAUAAAAAAAGUGUUUAAAAAGGUAGUAAAAUUCAUGUGGCAGGUCUUAACCCCUUAAUGCCUGCAAUAUGAAGCAAUUGUCAGAGAAUCACAAAAUGUGAAAAAUAAGGUCUUAAACCUUUUUUUUCCAAAUUUGUAAAGAAAAAUGUGUAAUAAGCGCUCUAAUAUCUAUUUUCCUUGUUAAAUCCUGUUUUUCUCAUGGGACAUGCAGAUGCAUGAGUUGACUUGCAUCCAUUUUUUUGUUUUUGUUUUUGAGGAAAGAGUUCUAAAUCCUAAGUGUAUCAAAUGUGAUUCAUUUGGCAAGAAAGGGUUAAGCUCUGUUGCUCCAAGUCUUUCAAAAAAUAUAUUUUUUUAUAUCCGUAAUAGACUACCAUCCUUUAAAUACUGUCACUGUAGGUAGCAUUUUUAACAGGCUUAUAAUGUCUAUUUUUUUCCUUUUAAAAUGGUCUUAAAUUGGUUUAAGCAUAGACAUCACAAUCAUACAUUAAGAAGUCUGGUUUAAGUCUGAAUUUUCCCAAGUAUGACUUUCAAAUAGGCUUGAAAUGGAGAAAGUAGUCUUAAAAAGACUUAUUUAUGCCACAUAUAGUACAGUAUUAGACAUCUAAUCUUGCUCUCAUCAUCCCUCUGCUGAGCGGUUCAAUGAGUUUUUCACCAGUUGACAUCCAAUCCAUUUGAAGUGCAUGGGAGGUCCUCCCACUCAAAAUGGAUGGGACGUCUUCAGCUGUCAAUGACAGAGAAAGGCAAAACCGUUAAACGUAUGCUACACGUACGCUACAUUUGUUCGACGGGACACCUUGCAUCGAUAAAAAUCAAUCGAUCAAAAACGGGGAUCCUACUUUUACAAAAGCUCCCCAUUUGUCACUUGUCACUCAGUACACCGGACUUGCAGGCGCACAGCAGUGACGUGAUGAAACAGCCCAGCCCUUGUGAUUGGCUGUUUAAGAAGAAGACGUCUGAUUGGCUGAAGACGGGCUCCAGUUAAAAAAAAUGCAUGUGUUCUUCUCAGUUGCGCAUGACGAGUAUCAAAACGAUCAACACAUUCGUAAGUGGGAAUUUGUAAUUGGAAGCACGUUACAAAUGCGCGUAAAACAAUUCACACACACAUUUGGUGAAUGUG